rnacentral:lncRNA from 1 species
AAGCCUAUUAAAGAUCAGCUUGGAUCAAGCUUUCAUUCGCAUCUGCCUGAACUCCACAUGUUUCAGACCCAAGGGAAAAUUGGUAAUCAAGUGGAGAAGUCUAUCAAUGAUGCUUCCUCAGCUUCAACAUCCCAAAUAAUUUGUAGGCUCAAAACCCAUAUUUCUAUUAAGUAUGGGAAGAAUUUCCUCUAUUCUUCAUUAUUCACACAAAUACAAGAAGUACACAUGAGGGAAAAACCUUUCCAAUGUAAUGAGUGUGGCAAAGCCUUUAAUCAUAGCUCAUGUUUAAGGAGACAUCACGUAACCCAUUCAGGAGAGAAACAGUAUAAAUGUGAUGUAUGUGGCAAAGUCUUUCAUCAGAAGCAAUACCUUGCAUGGCACCAUAGUGUUCAUACUGGAGAAAAACCUUACAAGUGUAAUGAGUGUUCCAAGACCUUCAAUCAGAAAUCACAACUUGAAACACACAGGAGAAUUCAUACUGGAGAAAAACCAUACAAACGUAACGAAUGUGGCAAGGCUUUUAGUAGAAAAGCAAACCUUGCACAUCAUGGACUUCAUACUGGAGGGAAAUCUUACAAAUGUAAGGGUUGUGACAAGGUUUUCCACCAUGAUUUAUGCCUUGCACAACAUCAGAGAGUUCAUACUGGAGAGAACCUUACACAUUUCACGAGUAUGGAAAGACCUUUGCUCAAAAUUCAGCCCUUGUAAUGCAUAAGGCAAUUCAUACUGGAAAGAAACCUUACACAUGUAAUGAAUGUGGCAAGGUUUCUAAUCAACAAUCAAACCUUGCACAACAUCAGAGAGUUUAUACUGGAGAGAAACCUUACAAGUGUAAUGAGUGGGGCAAAGCCUUAAGUGGGAAGUCGUCACUUUUUUAUCAUCAAGCAAUCCAUGGUGUAGGGAAACUUUGCAAAUGUAAUGAUUGUCACAAAGUCUUCAGUAAUGCUACAACCAUUGCAAAUCACUGGAGAAUCCAUAAUGAAGACAGAUCUUACAAGUGUAAUAAAUGUGGUAAAAUUUUCAGACAUCGAUCAUAUCUUGCAGUUUAUCAGCGAACUCAUACUGGAGAGAAACCUUACAAAUAUCAUGACUGUGGCAAGGUCUUCAGUCAAGCUUCAUCCUAUGCAAAACAUAGGAGAAUUCAUACAGGAGAGAAACCUCACAAGUGUGAUGAUUGUGGCAAAGUCUUGACUUCACGUUCACACCUCAUUAGACAUCAGAGAAUCCAUACUGGACAGAAAUCUUACAAAUGUCUUAAGUGUGGCAAGGUCUUCAGUCUGUGGGCACUCCAUGCAGAACAUCAGAAAAUUCAU